CGCUUGCAAGAGGAGAAGAGGAGGGCAGCUGCGGAGGGGAGCCUGGGACCCCCGCCUCCGCCGCCCAGACAGGUGAGUCAGGACCCUGGGCCUCCCUCCCUCCCUCCUCCUUGGGGGCCUCCAUCUCCUCUUGAACCAGCUUCAAAACUGAGUUGAAGAGCAUCCUGUGCAGGGAAGCCUCCCAGACCUUACAGGUAUAAUUGCAAGAUUGGUUUGUAGCUGAAGGUUACACCAUAGUUUCCUGGUUCAAAUGCAACUACAAAAAAAUAACAUUAUAUGAGGUCUGUAGACAGUUGCAUUCCUAAACACACUUCAUUUGAAAGCUGUGAGAUUUCUUUAAAAGGACAGGUGUAUCAUCUGGUAAAGCCUCCCAAGAAUAAAAAGAAACCAAGAGAAACCAUGGCUUGCACAAAAAAGCUAAUGCAGCCAAAAGGACAAUAAAACAACACUCUGCAGAAAGACAAAAAUGACAAUGUGGUUAUGAUAUUUAAAAUCUAUGAUGCCUCCUGCCAUGGCAGAUACCCUGGACAUCUGGGCAGUAGAUUCACAGAUAGCAGUUGAUGGCUCAAUAUCUGUGGACUGCCUGCUUCCCACUGGAAUUUACAUCAGUUUAGAUGUUCCUCGUGAUGCCACUAUUUGUUAUAUCAAACAGCUAUUAUGGAAGCAAGCACACGACUACCCUCUGUUUCAUCUUCUUAUGGAGAUCGACUCCUAUAUGUUUUCCUGUGUGAACCAAACAGCUGUACGUGAGGAACUGGAAGAUGAGACACGAAGGCUUUGUGACGUUAGACCAUUUCUUCCUGUCCUUCAACUAAUUACAAGAAGCUGUGACCCAGGGGAAAAAUUGGAUUCUAAAAUAGGUGUCCUCAUAGGAAAAGGCCUCCAUGAGUUUGAUGCCCUACCAGACCCAGAGGUCAAAGAAUUCCGGAUUAAGAUGCGACGAAUCAGCGAAGAAAAAAUGCAUUCACUUGUGAGAUUAUCAUGGAUGGACUGGUUAAAAAAUACUUACCCACCAGAAUUGGAACCAGCAGUUCAGGAAAACCUCCAAGAUAAACUUUAUGGUGGCAAUCUAGUGGUGGCUGUUCAUUUUGAUAACUGUCAGGAUGUAUUUAGUUUUCAGGUGUCUCCUAAUAUUAAUCCCAUCAAGUUGAAUGAGCUGGUAAUUCGAAAACGUUUAACUAUCCAUGGGAGGGAAGAUGAUGAAGUUGACCCUUCUAACUAUGUGCUGCAAGUUAGUGGAAGAUUGGAAUAUGUCUUUGGAGAUCACCCAUUAAUUCAGUUCCAGUAUCUCCAGCGUUGUGUGAUGAGCAGAACUCUUCCACGGCUGACUCUCAUUGAAUGCAGUACCAUUAAAAAAAUGUGUGAACAAGAAAUGAUUGCUAUAGAAGCUGCCAUAAACCGAAAAUCUUCUACCCUUCCACUUCCUCUACCACCAAAAAAGUCACGUGUGACACAAAGUGUAUGGGAUAUUAACCAACCUUUCAAGGUUGUGCUGGUAAAUGGCAACAAGCUGAACACAGAAGAAACUGCCAAAGUUCAUGUCAGGGCCGGUCUCUUCCAUGGAACUGAGCUCCUUUGUAAGCCUAUCGUAAGCUCAGAAAUAUCUGGGAGAAAUGACCAUGUUUGGAAUGAACCCUUGGAAUUUGAUAUUAACAUCUGUGAUUUGCCAAGAAUGGCUAGGCUGUGCUUUGUGGUUUAUGCUGUGAUGGAUAAAAUGAAAAAUAAAAAGUCAGCCAAGACACUCAAUCCGUCCAAAUACCAGACCAUUAGGAAAGCUGGGAAAGUGCACUAUCCUGUAGCAUGGGUCAAUACUAUGGUGUUUGAUUUUAAAGGCCAACUGAAGAGUGGAGACUUUGUGCUGCACAGCUGGUCAUCAUUUCCUGAUGAACUUGAAGAAAUGUUGAACCCAAUGGGAACAGUACAAACAAAUCCAUACACUGAAAAUGCAACAUCUUUGCAGAUAAAAUUUCCAGAGUAUUCAAAAUUUCCUAUUUAUUACCCUCCCUUUGAUAAGAUACUUGAAAAGGCAGCUGAGAUUGCAAGAAGCAGUGAAAGCUCUGGUAUGGCAGGACGUGGUGGGAAAAAGUUCUACAUUGAGUUGAAGGAGAUUAUGGAAAGGGAUCCCUUGUCUCAACUGUGUGAAAAUGAAAUGGAUCUCAUUUGGACUUUACGGUACGACUGUCGUGAAAAUUUUCCACAAUCCUUGCCAAAGUUGUUGCUCUCCGUGAAAUGGAACAAACUUGAAGAUGUUGCUCAGCUUCAGGCUCUUCUUCAAAUUUGGUCCAAACUGCCUCCCAGAGAAGCAUUAGAAUUAUUGGAUUUCAAUUAUCCAGAUCAAUAUGUAAGGGAAUAUGCAGUGAGCUGCUUAAGGCAAAUGAGUGACGAAGAGCUUGCUCAAUAUCUUCUGCAGCUUGUGCAAGUACUGAAAUAUGAACCUUUUCUCGACUGUGCCCUAUCUAGGUUCCUGCUAGAGAAAGCAAUGGCAAAUAGAAGGAUAGGACAGAUGCUGUUUUGGCAUUUAAGAUCAGAAGUGCAUAUUCCUGCAAUUUCAGUGCAGUUUGGCGUGAUACUUGAAGCUUACUGCCGUGGAAGCAUUGCUCACAUGAAAGUACUUUCUAAACAGGUCGAAGCACUGAACAAGAUGAAAACUUUGAAUAAUCUAAUAAAACUGAAUGCCAUGAAGCAAAGCAGAGCUAAAGGAAAAGAAGCAAUGCACACCUGUUUAAAACAAAGAGCAUACAAAGAAGCCCUAUCUGAUCUUCAGUCCCCUCUGAAUCCUUCUGUUUUGCUUUCAGAACUGUAUGUGGAGAAAUGUAAAUACAUGGACUCUAAAAUGAAGCCUUUGUGGAUAGUGUACAAUAACAAAGUGUUUGGUGGAGAUUUGGUGGGAAUCAUCUUUAAAAAUGGAGAUGAUCUCAGGCAAGACAUGUUGACGCUCCAGAUGUUACGCCUGAUGGAUUUACUUUGGAAGGAGGCUGGUCUAGAUCUACGGAUGUUGCCUUAUGGUUGUUUAGCGACAGGAGAUCUUUCUGGCUUAAUUGAGGUGGUUUCUACUUCUGAGACAAUUGCAGACAUUCAGCUAAAUAGCAGUAAUGUUGCUGCUGCUGCUGCAUUCAACAAAGAUGCUCUUUUAAACUGGCUGAAAGAAAACAACACAGGAGAUGACCUGGAUCGUGCCAUUGAAACAUUUACAUUAUCUUGUGCUGGCUACUGUGUAGCUACUUAUGUACUGGGCAUAGGAGACAGACAUAGUGACAAUAUCAUGGUCAGGAAGAAUGGUCAGCUCUUUCACAUAGAUUUUGGACAUAUUCUUGGAAACUUCAAAUCAAAAUUUGGAAUUAAAAGGGAACGAGUGCCUUUCAUCCUCACCUAUGAUUUUAUUCAUGUCAUUCAGCAAGGGAAAACUGGAAAUACUGAAAAAUUUGGUCGGUUUCGCCAGUGUUGUGAAGAAGCAUACUUGAUUCUGCGAAGACAUGGGAACCUCUUUAUCACGCUCUUUGCACUGAUGUUAACUGCUGGGCUUCCCGAACUAACCUCUGUUAAAGACAUCCAGUAUCUGAAGGAUUCCCUUGCCUUAGGAAAGAAUGAUGAAGAAGCACUAAAGCAGUUUAAGCAGAAAUUUGAUGAAGCACUCAGAGAAAGCUGGACCACUAAAGUGAACUGGAUGGCGCACACUGUUAGGAAGGAUUACAGAUCCUAGAUGGUUUAUGAAUUUGCACUAAGCUUAAUGUUACCCUGACAGUAAAGUAUUAAAAGGGAGACAACAGACCUGAGGAAAUUGCUUGAGCAUUUCCUGAUUAUUUUGCACUCUGUUUUGGAAUGCUUUGAUGAGAUUUUGUAAAAUUAGCAGACGUUCUCAAUAAUCACUUCUGCUGACUUUGCACGCAAAAAGCUAUUACUAAGCUUUUAUAUUAUUAUUUUGAUACACUGAGAAACUGUAAAUAUUGGGGAUUUUUUAAAAAAAAGUUUAGGUGGCAUACUCUAACUUUGAAUUGUUAGAGACAUCUUGAACUGAUUGCAAAACAAUGUCAGAGGUUUUUGGAUGUCUUUCAAGUCUUCAAGUGAACAUUGUGUGUGUGCUUGUGUAUAUACAUUUUUUUACUGGCAUUGACAUAUUUGUUCUACUGUAAAUAACAACUGCCAGAUUAUUGUAUAGCCAGAAACUGCUUAUUGUCUUGAACUGCUACCAGAAGAACAGAUAUUUCUAUACUUCAUAAAUGGGAAAUUAAUUUUUUUAAAAAAGAUAAUUUUGCUCAAGUUCUCAAUGCUGGUGUAAAUGUGUUUAGAAUUUGUCUAUAAUUUGGGAACAACCUUGAGCUGUUGAAAAAUUUGCCCAUGGAGUGGACUGUCUUUGUGAAUUAUUGAACCUUGCCUUUUCUUUAGAAGCUUCCAUGAAGAGUUGUCCAGAUGGUUUUCCAGUGACAUCCAUAACAAUUUGUAUAGUUCACAAACACUGUUUAAUCUAUCAUACCAUAUGGUAAGGGAUGAGAAUUGUUGUCCAUGCAAUAUCUGGAGGGUCACACAUCUCCAGUCCUACUUAGAAGUGCACUCUGUAUGGAUGGAUGUAAUUCUUUGUUUGAUCUACUAUCAAGUUGAGGAUCUACAAUCCAUAAAAAGGUUAAACCUUGAUAGGCAACAUAUCAUACAUUUGAAUUUAAGUUACAAUUAUCUCUCUCCUCUUGCUUGUAUCAUUCAUGUUAUUUCUUAUUGGCUUGGCCUUUUCAAGCAUUCUACCCCUUCAAAAAAUUAGACCUGUCAACUUGCAGAAACUAUUUUGUAGACCUUAUUUUCACUUGUGUAUAUUCAGUCUCUUUUCUAUACCUCUCUGGGCUGUUAUAAUAUAUUGCAGCUUUUCAUAACAUUAGAAACUAAUCAAAUGCAAAUCAAAUUAAUGAGUCAAUAGUGGAUUUUACAUUUGGAAUUCUUUAGUUUGAAUUCCCAUUUGUUUUUGUAACUGAAAUGAAUGACACUCUUUCAGUUUUUUCGUCAAGCUAUUAAAAUGAUUGUACAUCCCUAUUGUCACACUAUGCUUAUAAUGGCUUUUUGCUGAAGUUGAUUUCUUUUGAGAGUCUACUACCCUUUAAGUUCACAUUGCACUAGAUUCAAGGGGAAAUGGAAGGAAAACCAAUGCUGUUCUGCCAACUCUUGCAAACAUCAAUAUGAUGUUAUACUAGGUACGUUUGUCCAAACAUUUUCAUGCUUUUGCUUUUAAAAGUAGUUACCCAAGCAAAAGUAUAUAUUCUGAUGUAGCUGCACAUCUGUCAUUCAGUUCUUUAGAUAAAAUAUUUUAUAAUUGGAACAUGUUUUCUCAAUACUGAAAGGUAUCUUAUUGAUCU